rfam:Ipomoea nil DNA, scaffold: scaffold3056, cultivar: Tokyo-kokei standard.
CCAACUUUAGCUUAGUUGGUAGAGCGUAGGACUGUAGUUGGAGUAAUAAUCUGAGCUGAAAUCCAUAGGUCGCUGGUUCGAAUCCGGCAGGUUGGA